GGCUACCGGCAUCUGAGACUUUUAAAGAAUUUUCGCUAAGUCCCGAACAAGCCUCAUUUAAAACUUUCGCUAGAUUCAUUAAAUACAUAUAAUCACAUGCGAAAGCAAAUAUAUAAAAAUUAAACUAUUAUCUAUUCCAUUCAAAAUAAUAACAAUCCACGUUUAUGAGUUGACAACAUUUUUCAACAUAUAGCAAAUUUCGUUUUAACAUAACACUAAUCAACGGAGUGACUCAGAGCGGGGCUAAGAGAUGCCUUUCCUACUCUGCGGUAGAUCGUAUGCAUCGAUGGUUACACGUUAGACUGAUCUCUCUCUGCAAAAAGGGAAAAUAAGAGGGGUGUGAGUCUUAUAGACUCAAUGAUAAUCAUCGACCCCGUGAACAGGCGAAGAGGGGAAACAAACAUAAAUGUGGAAUGUUUAUAAACUCAGGAGUAAGAGUAGAAAAUACAUUCCAUAAAAAUGAGAGAUUUUAUUUUAUACUUUGCAAUUCUUAAAAAUAAUAAUUCCCAAGCAAACAUGUAUGAAAACAGUUGUAUUUAGGAUGCUAGAAAAUAUUUCAACUCCGACAUCCAGUCAACAUUUAAUUCAAUGGCAAGUGAAAAAUAAAAAUUUUCAUAUAUUAAUGUCAUGCAUAGUGAAAUAAAAAUCUACAAGUGAGCAUUUUCCUUAGGUAGGUUUACUAUAGCUCUUAGGCUUACUCUCUCAGACAUCAUCACCUACUCGUGGGAACUGCCCACACCACAAGAUGAAUCGGGGCUUCAGGUCCCCUUUUUUACCUACUCGUGGGAACUGCCCACGCCACCAGAUAAAUCGAGGCUUCAAGUCUCCCUUUACCUACCGUAGGAGCUACCCACGUCACCAAAUAUAAAUCGAGGCUUCAGGUCUCCCUUUUUACAAACAAAUAUCGAUAUUCGAAACUUUUUACUUUGUGCACAAAGACCACACUUGACCUAGUGUGGUAACAGGUCCUACCCAGAGUAUCUCGAUCACGUUAAAAUAAAUUUAUUGCAAUUUAAUACAUUAGCAAAACAUCAUAGUUUGUAAACAAUAUAAUUAUAAAUCAAUGUUGUACAUAUUCUAUCUCAAAACAUGAUACAUUUACCAAAUCAGCAUGCUAAUUGAAAUAAAUAAUUUAUCAUCAACUUCUAUGAAUCAAACAAAGGCCAUUGGCCUAAAUAUCUCACAAACUUGCAAGGUAUGAUUUUGAAGUGAAAGCCAGUCCAAGGUUUGUUUCCCCAUCUUUAAAAACAUGUAGAUAAAUAUUUUUAUAUAUUAUAUAAAAAAACAAAUUUAAAAUCUUUGUCACAAAUACAAACAACCUAAGGCUUUCUACCAACUCAUGUUGUCCACAAUUUGAUCAACUAUCAAAUAUGACAUAUAUAUUAUAUUAUAGGGACAUAGUUUUGAAAUUUAGCACCCACUCACCUCACAAUAGUGGGACGCUGCUUCGCUAUUUUUUCACGCGUGUACUUAGAUAUUCUCUAUUCCUUUUCGUUUUUUUUUCUUCUCCUCUGUCGCUG
rnacentral:lncRNA from 1 species